rnacentral:rRNA from 1 species
AUUGAACGCUGGCGGCAGGCCUAACACAUGCAAGUCGAGCGGAUGAAGGGGGCUUGCUCCUGGAUUCAGCGGCGGACGGGUGAGUAAUGCCUAGGAAUCUGCCUGGUAGUGGGGGAUAACGUCCGCAAACGGGCGCUAAUACCGCAUACGUCCUGAGGGAGAAAGUGGGGGAUCUUCGGACCUCACGCUAUCAGAUGAGCCUAGGUCGGAUUAGCUAGUUGGUGGGGUAAAGGCCUACCAAGGCGACGAUCCGUAACUGGUCUGAGAGGAUGAUCAGUCACACUGGAACUGAGACACGGUCCAGACUCCUACGGGAGGCAGCAGUGGGGAAUAUUGGACAAUGGGCGAAAGCCUGAUCCAGCCAUGCCGCGUGUGUGAAGAAGGUCUUCGGAUUGUAAAGCACUUUAAGUUGGGAGGAAGGGCAGUAAGUUAAUACCUUGCUGUUUUGACGUUACCAACAGAAUAAGCACCGGCUAACUUCGUG